rnacentral:rRNA from 1 species
GAUGAACGCUGGCGGCGUGCCUAAUACAUGCAAGUCGAGCGAACAGAUGAGGAGCUUGCUCCCCUGACGUUAGCGGCGGACGGGUGAGUAACACGUGGAUAACCUACCUAUAAGACUGGGAUAAUUUCGGGAAACCGGAUCUAAUACCGGAUAAUAUAUUGAACCGCUUGGUUCAAUAGUGAAAGACGGUUUUGCUGUCUCUUAUAGAUGGAUCCGCGCCGCAUUAGCUAGUUGGUAAGGUAACGGCUUACCAAGGCAACGAUGCGUAGCCGACCUGAGAGGGUGAUCAGCCACACUGGAACUGAGACACGGUCCAGACUCCUACGGGAGGCAGCAGUAGGGAAUCUUCCGCAAUGGGCGAAAGCCUGACGGAGCAACGCCGCGUGGGUGAUGAAGGUCUUCGGAUCGUAAAACUCUGUUAUUAGGGAAGAAAAAAUGUGUAAGUAACUAUGCACGUCUUGACGGUACCUAAUCAGAAAGCCCCGGCUAACUACGUG